AACCUGUGGGAGAGGAAAACAAGUAGUUAAAGAGCUGGUCAGGUCAAGAGGGAUAUAGAGCACCCAACCCUGAGCUGGUGGGAAUCAGCGCUGAAGUUAAACAGUUGAGGAAUGUCAGCUGACACAGGAGAGAGAUCUGUGCUAUAUUUAAAACAUUUCCCUUGAAGUGAAUGUCUAAACUGCUCCUGGGACUGGGUGGGUGUGCAGGUCUGACGUGUCAGCUCUCAGUCCACCACACUGCAACUUCAUCACCCCUUUUUCUCACUCUCAAGUUAAUUUCCAAAGAGGCAUCAGUGAGGCUCCUUGAGAGGAAAAAGCUGUUUCCAUUCCCCAUGGAGCUGUUUCUUUCUGGUUCUUACUGCUCUGUCCUGCUGCCCCAGCUCUGACUGCAGGCUGCGGUGCACACUCCAUCCAUUUACAGGAGCUGCCUAAGCCUGCCCUCUUUCUGAUAAGCAGAUCCUCAGGGGAACCUGCAAAUAAACACCAACAAAAUGUGCAUGCGUUGGCUAAGGAAUCUAUUGCUCACUUGUCUCCUGGGAAGGAAACACAAAAGCAUUCAGCAGCCCAGGCCCUGAAACCGCUGGCAGAUGAAAGGGUAGCAUCUUUCAUUUGAAUAGCACUACAAGCACGUUGGUACCACGCUUCUGCUCUGAUCUUUGGUAUCUGUCUUUAAUUAAGUGAUCACCACUUGAGUCAGAAACUGUGCUGUUAAUGUAUGUUGGUUGUUACAGCCUCUCAGUGCCUUCAGCCAAUACCUGCAGGUGAGCUGUCACCUAUGUUCCCUGUUUCUGCUUAGAUUUAAUCACUACUAAAGCACUCUGACAUUUUGGAUCACAGAUGAUACAUGACAGAGAAAUUAUGAUAUUAGAGGAAUAACACAAGGUUGCAGUCAAAGUCAUCCAGUGUGACAAGCAGUAAAGACUCAUAGCAGAGCUGAGCACCUGUGCUUUGGGCUGGAUAUGACUUCUAACGGGUUUAUGGGAACUGUUAGAUCAGGGUCUGAACCAGUGAUUGAGCACCUGGUGAAGGGGUGUAGCCAGCCCUGGGAGCACAGGUGGAAGCAGUUGAUCUGUGUUGACUGGAAGGGCUGGAUUCUGGGUACAGUGCUCCCUAAUCUCAUUUAAGGGCUGGCAGCCACAAAGGAAGCACCUUUACUUGGGGAUCGCCUUCCUGGUAGUGUUUGGUGAGCCCUGAUCCUUGGAAAGGGCCUGCAGAUGACCUCUGGGACGUGCUUUGGAAAGUUCCUGAAGCUUCUGCACGUAUCUGGAGUUCUGCCAAACAGCUACAGAAAUGCAGCAGGAUCUGUUCCCAAGCACUUCCAGCCCAGGUCUAGCAAUCUGCCUUUGCCAUCACUUUGUUAGCAUGGAUUCAGAAGCUCUUUCAUCAAGUGAUCGCCUACCAGACAGAAAUGAAGAUGGAUCCUGGCUGGAGAGCAAGUGUCUGUCACAUAGAAAGGGAGUCUCAUUCCAAUGGAAGCACUCGUGAAGUAUUACUCAAGGUCUUAAUUAUAUCAGAAACUUUAAUCUGGCACUGCUACUUUCCUCCCUGUUGGAUAAUAAGUCAUACUGGUAGAGUGUCAUAGUAUUGGUACUGGUAGAGUAGGAGCAGAGAUGUAUAAGGCUAUAAUUAAGUUAAGGGUAUAAUUCUGGGGUGUGACAAGGCAAGGGAUCUUACGGAUUCUCAUGGGCAGGAUGCAAUAGCCUUUCCUUAGAUAAAGUUUAAGGUAAGGAGUAUCAGCCAUUUGCUGUCAACGUUGUGUCACAUCUCUUGGACAUGCAGAAGUGGAAAGUCGUUAAACACUGAUUGCUCCCAUUCAAGUGGAAGCACAUUCGGACAAUGGGAUGCCUGGACCUAGGGAAGCAGCUCAGCCAAAUGUGUCUGCAGGGACAGCUCUUAGAACAAUGUAAUUUCCCUACAAGAACAAAGAGAUCAGAUGGUCUCACUGGCUCUGAAAAGCACAAAAACUCACAGCAGCUUCAGGGGAACUCACAAGGAAAUCCAGGCCAACUCCUCUGCAACAUGGAUCUAGAAAACACACUGCCUUCUAGCCAAUUCAACUGUGCCAGCCAACUCUUGUAGAUGUAUUCACAGUGAUCUAAAAGAUCUGCCCCAGUGUAUGGUAACUGCUGAAUCACAGCCUGAACCAUUGAUUGAGCACCUGGGGAAAGGACCCAGUCAGUCCUGGGAGCACAGGUGAAGGCAGUUUAUCUGUGGGACCAGAAGGAGUGAAGCCUGGCUGCACCUCUCUUAGACCCCAUUUAAGGGCUGACUGCCAGUGGGGAAGGGUUUCUUCCUUGGAGAUUCGUCAUUAGUGAAGCUUCCUCCUCUGAACUGAGAAUCUUCUGAUGCAGGAGGUUUGCAUCCAUCAGACAUUCCUGUGAGGACUAAGGAAAUCCUGUCCUACUAAAUAGAAGCUGCAGGGAACACCACAGCAAGAGAUGAAGCUCUCGUGUCUGUCAAAGGAUCCCUCACAGGUCUGUUUGAGGACUUAAAAGAGAAGCACCCACUCCAAAGGGCGAUGUCUGCUGGUUGGCCCCAGUGUCCACCUAUUGUUUGCUCUCCAACCCCAGGAAAUCUUGAGGCUGAUGCAAAGAUAUGGAAAACAUCUGUGUCAAAAACUUUCCUUCUUCUGAUGAUCAGUGAGCAGAAGUAACUACAAAGCGCUCUGUAGACCAGGUCUAUGGGUCAUAGGACCACAGAUCUUAAGCCAAGACCCAAGUCCUAGAACUCAGUAAGUGCCAUGGAGCUGCACAGGGUGCCUCACAGCCCUGCUCUCUGGGAACAAGGUGGUGAUGUGCAUUGCUUAGGUGCAGACCACCUCCUGACCAUACGCAACCGCAUGGCUUGUUGGUUGGCAGGCACCAAACCCAAAGGCAAGGAAGUUGGGUGUGUACCCACCUCCCUCAGGUGGUUUGGAUGCAACCAGUUGGGUGGGUGUGGGAAAGUGCUACUCCUGACUACUCAAACUCCUGCUCGAACAACUUUUCUUGCAUUUGCCUAUCAGCUAUAAAAAGAAAAUAAGGUUAAAAAAUCAACAUAGCUUUUCCCAUUGGCUUGCACAAAAACAACCAACCAACCAAUAUCCAGAUUUUGUGAGGUAGCUGCCUAUACAACUAGGGGUAACAUAACUAUGUGUCAAGCUAGAAUCUGACAGCAGAUACUGGCAGCAAGAUGAACAGCCAUAAAUAACAACGGGAGAAACACAGAUAGCUUUCUAUAGCAGAUCAUAAUCAGCACGUAAUCAGCAUAGAAAGCCAUUACACUCAGGGGACUACUUAAAUUAUGAAAAAGACAUUUAAAUGUCUCUAUCUGAUACCUUGUCUGUGCUUAUCACUGAUUUCAGUUUUGAACUCUCAGAGAGGUCCCAGUGAGAACUUCCUAAAUCAUUUACUGACAUUAAAAAAAAAGCAGUUAAAAAGCAACACAGUUAAACUGGCUCCUGCCUGCUGCCCUGAGGUUUCUGCUGUUACUGGUCAAACUGAGCUCAGAUGCUGAUGAUGUAUUUGUUGAUGCUAAGAAAAUUUAGAAGAGCAGAUAUCACCGAGCUGGCAUCCCAUCUCUCCCUGACUGCUGUUGUUGAAGGCACUUUGAUGCUGACAGGCAUCGGCCACCUGCAAGUGCCACUCUGGAUGUAGCACACAAGUGCCAAAUGAGGCAGGUGUGCACAGAGUGAGAGCAACUCCGUGGUUUGCAUCUAUAAGGUGAGCUUCAGUAAGAAAGGGUCGGGGAAUGCAGUCAUAACAGUAAGAGCUCUCUCAGGUGAGAGACAUCUCUUAGCUGCUCUGCAAAGCUCAGUGCAUGUAGCCCAGUCACACCAGCCAAGCUAUAAAACAUAGUUACAGAGACUUACUGACAGUCAAAAAAGUGUGUUUGCUGAAAAGUGCUCACCUGGCAGCUGCUGCUGGCUUCCAGUACCUGCAGAAGAGGUGCUGCCCAUCAGCGUUGAUGAUGUGGGGCAGAUCCUUGUAUGGGAUGUUUUGAGGACUCCGCUUUGGUGAACUUUCCUCGGGCAUUCUGGAUGAAUGACCUGCAAAGUGAUGGAAGAAACUUGAGGACAGGUGAAGGCAAGGCAAAGCCACAGACUUUAAGGAAGUUGGUCAGCAAGGCAAGCACUGCUGAUGGAAGUGUCCUUCCAAACCUCUGUCCAGCAGGGCCCCCAAAUCUUUCCUCCUUUAAAAGCCAUAGCGGGGAAGGCACUGGAGGGAGAAGAAGGGAAGAUCCAUCCACCAUCACUACUUCAUCCCAGCUUUCUCUCCCCGUCUUCUCCCAUCUGUGUUUACUUUGCAUCAUUUUGCGAAAGCGGAUCUUAAAAGGAAUAUUUGAGCUGCAAUCAAGUGCAGAUUGUGCAGCAGCCACCACAGAUAGGAAAAGACA